rnacentral:rRNA from 1 species
UAGCAUAUCAAUAAGCGGAGGAAAAGAAACCAACCGGGAUUGCCUCAGUAACGGCGAGUGAAGCGGCAAAAGCUCAAAUUUGAAAUCUGCGUAAGCCGAGUUGUAAUUUGAAGAUGGCUACUUUGGUAAUGGCUCUUGUCUAUGUUCCUUGGAACAGGACGUCACAGAGGGUGAGAAUCCCGUGCGAUGAGAUGUCCAUUACCGUGUAAAGUGCUUUCGAAGAGUCGAGUUGUUUGGGAAUGCAGCUCUAAGUGGGUGGUAAAUUCCAUCUAAAGCUAAAUAUUGGCGAGAGACCGAUAGCGAACAAGUACAGUGAUGGAAAGAUGAAAAGAACUUUGAAAAGAGAGUGAAAAAGUACGUGAAAUUGUUGAAAGGGAAGGGCUUGAGAUCAGACUUGGUAUUUUGUAUGGCUUGCUUUCGGGCGGGUCCUCUGCAGUUUACUGGGCCAGCAUCGGUUUGGGUGGCAGGAUAAUAGCAUAGGAAUGUGGCUCUACUUCGGUGGAGUGUUAUAGCCUUUGUUGAUACUGCCUGCCUAGACCGAGGACUGCGUCUUUUGACUAGGAUGCUGGCAUAAUGAUCCUAAGCCGCCCGUCUUGAAACACGGACCAAGGAGUCUAACGUCUAUGCGAGUGUUUGGGUGUAAAACCCGUACGCGGAAUGAAAGUGAACGUAGAUGAGAGCCUUUUAGGCGCAUCAUCGACCGAUCCUGAUGUCUUCGGAUGGAUUUGAGUAAGAGCAUAGCUGUUGGGACCCGAAAGAUGGUGAACUAUGCCUGAAUAGGGUGAAGCCAGAGGAAACUCUGGUGGAGGCUCGUAGCGGUUCUGACGUGCAAAUCGAUCGUCGAAUUUGGGUAUAGGGGGCGAAAGACUAAUCGAACCAUCUAGUAGCUGGUUCCUGCGA